rnacentral:lncRNA from 1 species
GGGGAGCACGGCGGUGCUCUGCCUGGAUGCUUGAGCAUUGAGCAACAUUUGCUGGAGACAGGAGGAAAAGAGCUAUGGCCCAGGCCUCUAAAAUGUCUUUUCUCACCUAUUUUGGUUGCAGCUGGUUGAUAUGAUGUGUGCACACACCAAGCUCUGGGCAUCACAUUGGCCUCAUUGCUGCCACUGCAAUCAAUACUGCUCAAUUUGGGCCAAAUUCUUCCUUAAAAGUCAUGGCAGUCGCUAAGAUCCCCAUGCAUUUAUUGCAGCUUAUCGCUGGGCAGCAAAGUAGGCUUGGAGAUAAAACUUCUGGAGUGGUGAGCAUAGUUUUUCUCCCUGGGACCGUGGUUAUGUGUGCUGAUGAAAAGGGGAUGACCAAUAGUUGUUGACUUGGUUUAUUUCUUACCCACCUUCGCUACAGGUUUUGUGCAAAGCCCAUUUGACACCAGUCCCUGUUUUAAUUGACUUUUUUCAGUAUCUCUUUUAUAGUUAUGAUGGAUGCAGCUGACGAGUCAGCAGAUGGUGUUGGGAAGUGACAAAUCACCAGGAAAGGUCACUUCUGCAAAGCACUAAACUUUCCCAUGUCUUUUCCCCUUUUACCUCAAAAAUGUGGCUGGCUGGCAGCUUUCCCAUCCAUCUGUGAUGAAGCUCUCCACUUCAUCGGAGAGAGCAACCUUUAAAAUAAAAAGGGAAAAUGAGAAUUAAUCAUAUCUGAAUUAGCUGGGUGCUGUUGGCCAGGUUUGCCUCUUCAUUAUGCAAGCAUGCUCAAAAGGGAAAGGAAACAGAACUGAAAAUAAGGGGCCUGACUCCCACCCUCCACAUUUUCCCUUUACAUUUGCCUAUAAGGACAGGCCUGGCACACCCCACUGCAGACACAGAACAAGGAUACGUGAAAAUAAAAGUCACAGCUGGAAGUCUGACCCCCAGCAUCGUAACGGGAGAAGUCUGUCCUGCUGCAGUCCCAUUAACAACUUGCAGUCUUCAGGCUCCUGGAAGCUCUCCUGGUUUUAUGAAGCAAAAUUGCAGCAGAGAGUUGAUUCGAGGCCUUCAGCAUUGCUCCGCUGGCCGCUGACCUGCAGAGAGCUCUAAAUCCACAUCGACACCGGCCUCGGGGGAUCAGCCAAAACACCAACCUCAGCUUGUGAGGGAGAAAGCUGGGUCCUCGAGGACAGCUGAGAAGGGACAGAGCCACGUUCAGAUCCUCCAGCAGCACAGAUGUGGCUCGGACUUACCUGCUCCGUGUUCAGCUCCCCAAAGUGGGAGAAGUCCAAGCAAAAGUCCUCUUGGUCCCACUGUUGGCAAUCCUGCAUGUGAAAGGUGUCUGGGUGCCAAGCAUGGAGCCAAAGUCGUACCAUGCAUUAGCUGGAAUGCAAAGAGAAGAAGGUUUGGUCAAAGGAAAACUUAAAGCAAAAAAAAAGAAAUCAAUAAAUGGUGGUGAAGGCGAUUAUACCA